CAGCAGUCGCCGCGGUAAUACGGAGGGCGCGAGCGUUACCCGGAUUUACUGGGCGUAAAGGGCGUGUAGGCGGCCUGGGGCGUCCCAUGUGAAAGGCUACGGCUCAACCGUGGAGGAGCGUGGGAUACGCUCAGGCUAGAGGGUGGGAGAGGGUGGUGGAAUUCCCGGAGUAGCGGUGAAAUGCGCAGAUACCGGGAGGAACGCCGAUGGCGAAGGCAGCCACCUGGUCCACUUCUGACGCUGAGGCGCGAAAGCGUGGGGAGCAAACCGGAUUAGAUACCCGCGUAGUCCCUGUCUCUUAUAC
rnacentral:rRNA from 1 species